rnacentral:rRNA from 1 species
UUUUUAAAUUGCUGUGGUAUUUUGACUAUACAAAGGUAUUGAAAUAAGAUUUUAAUUGAAUGCUAAGAGAAUGGAAUUUCAGAAAAAAACUUUUUUUAAAUUAAAAAUUGAAAUUUUUUUAAUUUGUGCAGAAACAAUUAUUAACAUUAAGGACAAGAAGACCCUAUGAAUUUUUAAAAUUUUUAAUAAUAAUAAAUUACUAUUAUUAAAAAUUUUAGCUGGGGCGGCUAAAAAAUAUAAUUAACUUUUUAAGAAUAAAACGAUCCACUAAUAAUGAUUACAUGUUAAAUACUCUAGGGAUAACAGCGUUAUAUUUUUUGAUAGACCAUAUUGACAAAAAAGUUUGCGACCUCGAUGUUGGAUUAGGAUACUUUUUUAAUGAAGAUAUUAAAAAAGAAGUUUGUUCAACUUUUAAUUUCCUACUUGAUCUGA